GACGAACGCUGGCGGCGUGCUUAACACAUGCAAGUCGAACGAUGAACCCGGAGCUUGCUCCGGCGGAUUAGUGGCGAACGGGUGAGUAACACGUGAGUAACCUGCCCUUGACUCUGGGAUAACUGCUAGAAAUGGUAGCUAAUACCGGAUACGACCCUCGGAGGCAUCUCCAGGGGGUGGAAAGAAUUUCGGUCAAGGAUGGACUCGCGGCCUAUCAGCUAGUUGGUGAGGUAACGGCUCACCAAGGCGACGACGGGUAGCCGGCCUGAGAGGGCGACCGGCCACACUGGGACUGAGACACGGCCCAGACUCCUACGGGAGGCAGCAGUGGGGAAUAUUGGGGCAAUGGAGGAAACUCUGACCCAGCGACGCCGCGUGAGGGAUGAAGGCCU
rnacentral:rRNA from 1 species